AAACAAUUUCCUUUUUCUUCUUCACCCGCGCGCGAUCCCCCUUUUCUUCUUCAUCUUCUCCUUUUUCUCUCCCUACCCAGCCGCCGCACAUCUCCCCUCUCCUUUUCGCUCGUCCGCCAACCACCAUCACUGCCCAAAUCUCCUCAUCCCGUCGUCGCCGCUGCACUAUUCGCCUGAAGUCGUCGUCCGUCCAGGUUACAAAGCCGCCGCGUACUGUUUCUGUUCGUGCUGCAUCCCACUGCAUCCUUCAGCCGCCGACCAUCUCCCCUCUCCCUUCUCCUUCAUUUUUUUGGCGCCGCUGUUACCCACACCCCCAACUACUCGUCGCGGUUCGUCUGUGCCUCCUUGCUGUCCAGAUCUGCAACCGCUCGAGCCACUUCGUCACACUGUCCGUCAUCUUCUGCUAGUCGCACUGCUCAGAAAUCUGCAUUGCUCAGCUUGCACAAGUCUUCUGCCCCACGUUUUGUGCCGCCGUGACGUCCGCAACCGUUCCACACCACCACGACUUUCCAUAUUCCAAUUUAGGGUUUUGUUCUGCUUUCGUCAACCAUUUGCACCGUCGCGUCUGUUCGUCGGCCGACAGUUCGAUCGCCGCUGCCGCUGUUUUGUUAUGUUGGAAGUGACAUUCCCUCGUGUUCAUAACCAAAAUUGUGAAUUUUGGAGUUCGGCUCGCCAAUAAUUGGUAUGAACUCGCCAAUACUUGGUAUCUUUCAUUGGAUAUAGUUUGUUCGAGAAAUUGAGAAACCUUGAGGUAAGAGAUUUUCUACCGGACUCAAUAAUAUAAUAAAAAUUAAGAUGUAUUGAUGGUAUGGACCGUAAUAUUAUAUCUUUUAGGGAUGACGCUCAUGAUGUAUGUUUGGAUGUGGACCUAAUGUUUAAUGUUUGCUGUGUUUGACGGUGAGAAAUUUAUAUAUAUGUGCAUGGAUUGAUGUGGACUUGUGGUUGAGUGUAUGUUGUGACUCAUAAGGACGUGGAAACGACUGAAUCUCGUAGAUGUUGCUAUAUAAAGUGUUAAUUAGUAGAUUGAUUGUUGUUUAGACUGAAUGUAUGAUCUACUCAUGUUAUGGUUGUGUGCUUGUUAACGGAAGAGACGUCAUGGUCGUGCCCUUGUAGACUGAGGAGGAGGUUAUGAUUAUUUAGUUUGUUAACUGAUGUAUUGAUGAUAUGUUUUUGACUGACUUUGGGCUAAACUAGAGUAAGACGAUUGUUUGGGGUUAAAUGAGGAGUUUAUGUGAUGAGACUGUUUCUGUGAACGAAGUUAAGAGUUUAUUUUGCCCUUAACGGGGCCCUUAACGGGACCCGUAGUUGGUCUCCUACUCAGUAUAUUUAUACUCACCCUUUUAUGUUUAACUUUUUCAGGCAAAGGUUGAGGGUGACAAACUGACGAAGGGCCGGUGAUUGCCAUAGGGAAUAUGUUAUUUUUGCUUCCGCUUUAUGUUUUUUAUCUUUAAAACAUUGUGAUGGAACUAAGCUUACGAACUAUUAUUUUGGUAAAAAGUACUUUUAAAGUUUUAAAAUAUUUGAAAUCGGGUCCGACUUAAAUUUGUUUUUCCUCGAUUGUAUAUUUUCAAAAGUCUUAUAUUUCAUUUUGUAUCAAUCAAGGUCUUUUGUCAAAAAUUAAUGACUUCGACUUAGUUAGAAAAGUUGGGUCGUUACAAGACGAAAAUGCGGUGGAGAAGACGCGCGAACGAAGAUGAGGCACAAUGAUCGCAACAGUGGCUGCUUGAUCGUGAGGGGUGCACAAAAAGGAGGUGGUCGGAGAUGGUGGACGUUGGCAUAAACAUUGAAGAAACGGAGAUGAUUGGCGAUCAGACAAGAUUGUGAUGGGCGAUGACUCUAGGAUUUUUUUGGAGGAAGAGGAUGAUGAGUAGUGUUGUUCACACAUAUUGAGGAGUAUAUAUUCAUAUUAUUAUUAUUAUUUUCUUUUCCAAAAUAACAAAAAUCUCUCUUCAUUCAAUUU